GAACAGUUGUGGUAUUUUGUAGCAAUGACCUUCAUCACCUUAAUCCUGACAAUGCUCCUCUGUCUACAUGGAUCCAGAGGUCAGUACACUGUGACUCAGACUCCAGCGGUGAAAGCUGCAUCUGUGGGGGACACGGCCAUUCUGACCUGUAAAGUCAGCAGUGCUGUGUACAGGAAUAGUAAUGGAGACUACCUUUACUGGUAUCAACAAAAGCCCGGAGGAGCUCCUAAACUUUUGAUUAAAUUUGCAAGCACACCACAUACUGGUACUCCAUCUAGAUUUCAAGGGAGUGGAUCAAGCACAGACUUCACUCUGACCAUCAGUGGAGUCCAGACUGAAGAUGCAGGAGAUUACUACUGUCAGAGUCUUCACUACCCCAACCGUGUGGAUGUGUUCACACAGUGAUAGAGAGCCGUACAAAAACCUCCUUGUGCCAGACUACACAUGAGUGCACUGCUGCAGCUUUGAGUCUCUGCAGAUGGUGUGCUGUUCAUAUGAGCAGUGAGAGUGGGCUGCACACGCGUAUCCUCAGCAAGUUCCUGGACACUAGAAAGAGUUCUGCUCAGGCAUUAUUAUGGACGGCCGAGCAGUGACCAGUCCAGGGGGAAGCUACUGACAGAGCAGCGAGAGCACAGGUGGGGAGAAGGAACCAAUAUAAGGACUCUGGGCCCAUUUACAGCACAGUAGAGCAUGUGUAGCACUUUGUUAUUUGUAUGACCUUUUUGCAUUUCUGAUUAUUCCCAUUCAUAGUAUUUUGAUGGGUCAGCUGUUAACCUUUGUGCGCCAAUACAUUGUCAUUCACAGAGAUGUGUGUUACAAAAGUGUAGUGGCCUUUUCUUGUGUGUUAGUGCAUUACCAUACAGACGUAUUUUAGCAUUGUUCAAUGAACACUUUCAAUUUGGUAUUUUUCUUGCAGAAGAAUGUAAAAGCAUGCAAGUAUCGAGUGUUAAUAAUAAUUUGGCAAAGAUAUUUAACAGUGAAUUAUAGAGAAAGACUUUUGAAGCACAUUUUGUGUUUUUUGUCUAUCUGAUAUCUAAUGGGCUUUUUAUAUUGUCUGUUGCUUAGUUCUGUUCAUUCAAUUCAAUCAUUGAAUUCUUAUUUCAUUAUUUUCAGACAUUUUGUUAUUAGUUUUUAUUCAGUCUGAGGUUACAACUUGUCAAAGCUUCUGGCUUUUCUUAGUUUAUUUUAAUAUAGUCCAACAUGUCCUAUUCUCAAACAUAAGAAGGGAGUCAAAAGAAGUGGCGCCUGAAUGAAUUUAUCUAAACACUGACUUACUCACAUGUG